AGAGUUUGAUCCUGGCUCAGGACGAACGCUGGCGGCGCGCCUAACACAUGCAAGUCGAACGGAGCUUAGAGAGCUUGCUUUUUAAGCUUAGUGGCGAACGGGUGAGUAACGCGUGAGUAACCUGCCCUGGAGUGGGGGACAACAGUUGGAAACGACUGCUAAUACCGCAUAAGCCCACGGAUUCGCAUGGAUCUGCGGGAAAAGGAUUUAUUCGCUUCAGGAUGGACUCGCGUCCAAUUAGCUAGUUGGUGAGGUAACGGCCCACCAAGGCGACGAUUGGUAGCCGGACUGAGAGGUUGAACGGCCACAUUGGGACUGAGACACGGCCCAGACUCCUACGGGAGGCAGCAGUGGGGGAUAUUGCACAAUGGGGGAAACCCUGAUGCAGCGACGCCGCGUGGAGGAAGAAGGUUUUCGGAUUGUAAACUCCUGUCGUUAGGGACGAUAAUGACGGUACCUAACAAGAAAGCACCGGCUAACUACGUGCCAGCAGCCGCGGUAAAACGUAGGGUGCAAGCGUUGUCCGGAAUUACUGGGUGUAAAGGGAGCGCAGGCGGACCGGCAAGUUGGAAGUGAAAACUAUGGGCUCAACCCAUAAAUUGCUUUCAAAACUGCUGGCCUUGAGUAGUGCAGAGGUAGGUGGAAUUCCCGGUGUAGCGGUGGAAUGCGUAGAUAUCGGGAGGAACACCAGUGGCGAAGGCGACCUACUGGGCACCAACUGACGCUGAGGCUCGAAAGCAUGGGUAGCAAACAGGAUUAGAUACCCUGGUAGUCCAUGCCGUAAACGAUGAUUACUAGGUGUUGGAGGAUUGACCCCUUCAGUGCCGCAGUUAACACAAUAAGUAAUCCACCU
rnacentral:rRNA from 1 species